rnacentral:misc_RNA from 1 species
GAAAUGCGAUAAGUAAUGUGAAUUGCAGAAUUCCGUGAAUCAUCGAAUCUUUGAACGCACAUUGCGCCCUCUGGUAUUCCGGGGGGCAUGCCUGUCCGAGCGUCAUUGCGAACCCCUCAAGCACGGCUUGUGUGAUGGGCCCUCCCGCGUCUUGGUCGUCAAGACGGGCCCGAAAUGCAGUGGCGGCUUAGCGGUUAUCCGAUCAGCCAGAGCGUAUGGGGACUUUCUCUCUGUCACACGCCCGCGGCGCGGACCGACGCCUGUCGACCCUCAUUCAUCGUUUUCUCGGUUGACCUCGGAUCAGGUAGGGAUACCCGCUGAACUUAAGC